CCGGAGGUGGCGGGAGCGGGUACGAGGUUCGGCGUGCCCAACUCUGCAGUCACUCCCCGGGCCGGUGCCAGGGAAAGGCGCGGGGUGUCACAGGAAACCGGACAUCCGAGCUCCCCGCGUUCGCAGCCCGCGAGCUCUUGUCCAGCUCCAGGUGCACCUGGCCCUGCGCGAGGUCCUGCUCCAGCCAUGGAAAUAGCUCCGAAGUUAGAAAAGUUUCCAGAGAAAGGCAUCACAAUGGCGGGAACCCGCGGAAACCUUGGAACCAGCAGCGACCCUCCCUACACUGCCCCCCCCCCCUUUUUUUCCCUCUGAGUAACUUAAGAAUUAAGAAGUAGUUGCCUAGUAAAGCAGCAGCUGGAGGAGGUCACAGAAAGCAGCACAGGCUGUCUGAGGGAAGGAUGCUAAUGAUUCCUUUGAAACUUCUACCAGAUGGGGAAGAAGGACCAGAGUCUUCAAGAAGCAUAUAAAGAGAUACAGACUGUUUCGAUGAAGAGCUGGGUUUAAAUGAGAACAGAUCUGGGGUGGGGGGUGGGGGUGGUGGUAAUAAAGAGAGACAUGUGUUGAGCAUAUUGUAGGAAAUGACAUCUGCAGAAAAGUGACUGUUUCUCCCCUUGGAAAAUCUCCCAGGGGCUGCUUGCUGUCCUGAGAACAUAAGCCUUCUGCCUCUCUGGACCACAGUAAGCAGGUUGCAGAUGACCAUGGCAUUGAAUUUCAACAAUUUACAGAACAUACUAAGGCUCCCUUCCCCCCCCCCAACUAUUUUUGAACACACUGAUCAUAUAGAUUCAUAAAAUCUUAGCUGAAGAAGAUAAUGUGUCAUCAUCUGACUCCACUCUAUUUGAUUUAACUCUCUUCACCCAUCUUUUACUACUUAAACGCUUAAGAUACCUCUGGGGACAAAAAAAAGCCUGUGCUAUGUGUGGCUACAGAUUCCCUUUUUAAUGGUCAACGUUGCUGAGAAGAAUUUUCUUCCAUCUAUCCAUUGCUAUUGACAUCUGGACUUUACACAGCUUCUCCCUGCUUUAGUAAGAUAGCUCCAAAUUCGAGACUCAAGGCCUAAUUUAUGUAUCCCAUGUAGUAUACAAUUCAAAGCAUGGCUGAAUUCUUAAGUAUCCCACCAAGCCUGUAGGGAGGGUCUUCCUUAUUCAGAUAUUUUUCAUUUGUUCUUGCAACUUUGGAUCAAGUUUAUUUUCUGGCAGCUAAGUAACAGUGUUUAUUCAGACUCCCAAUUUAAUUCCUCAAGGAUUUUGCCUUGAUAUUGUCAUUUAAUUACAUCUCUAUCACCCUGCAUUUGGAAAAUUACCUUAUUGUGCCCAAAGUUUGAACUCUGUUCUUUAUCAUUAAGCUCCAUUCUUUUAGAAUCAAUCCAUUGCCCCAUAUGGUGGAUGUAUUUUGAAGUGUUGAUGUUCAGUCUGUAUUAUUUACUUUUCAUAUCUUCUGAGGGAUGUAUGUUUGAUCUAAUGACCAUGUUUGUCUUCUGUUACUAAUCAAAUGUAAAGAAAAGAAGGUGGGAGGGGGAGUACUAAAGAAAGACCAGCAGAUGCCUGGGGACUUCAUGUGUGAUUUUGUGCUUUUGGAUUUCAAUUCAUUUUAUUUUAUUUUAUUUUUUAACAUUCAAGUAGUCAGAGAAAGAGAGAGACACACAGUACUGGAGUUUCCCCCAUUGCCACGCAGUGCCAGAGUUCAAAUCUUGGCUACAACUAUGGCAAGACGUUCACUCUACCUGCACAAGUAUUCCUCAGUUUCUUACCAUUCUUUAUAGUAGUGAUUGUCCACUUACACUGGGAGUAAAAAUAAUGGGAAAUUUCAGAAACAGGUGUUUGAGUCCAUCAGAAGAGAUUCUUGUAUAGUAGGUGAACUUAUAGUUGGACCAGGAAGAUAGUACAAUGGCUAAGCAAAAUAAUUAAUAUCAUAUCAGAAGCUCAUGUAUCCAAGGUUCAAUGUCAGGUAUCAUUGUAAGUCAGAACAAAGAAGUACUCUGGUUAAAAAAAUAAUAAAUUUUUCCAGAGAGAUAACAUAGUGGUUAUGCAAAGAUCUGUCAUACCUGAGGCUCUAAGACUCCAUAUUCAGUUCCAGCACCACUAUACACCAGGUCAAUAACAACAAAAAAAGGAAUCACUGAGCUUAUUAAAUAUCAUACUUGAAUAUUGUUUGGGAAUGACUUGAUAAAAAUCUCAGUUAUAAUUAUUGACACUUUUUCUGUGCUUGUGACUAUAAUUAUUUUAGGUAUUUCAUUGGUUUUAUCUUAUAGUUCUUGAGUUUAUAAUGUCUUAUCUUUUUUAUUAUUUUUUAUUGCCACCAGGGUUAUCGCUAGUGCUCCAUGCCUGUACUCUGACACUUCCACUCCCAAUAGCCAUUUCCCCUUCCCCUUUUUUCUUUCUUUUAAUUUUAUUUUUUAUUUUACAUAACAUAGAAAAAUUGACAAGGGAGGGAAACAGAUACAGAGGGAGAGAGACAGAGAUAUACCCACAACACUACUUCACUGCAUGUGAAGCUUUCUAUUCACAGGUGGAGAUCGGGGACAUGAACCCUGGCACUUGCACAUGGUAACAUAGGGUGUGCCACCAUCCAGCAUAUAAUGCCCUUUGAGAAUUUAGAUAAUCUAUGAACACGAUACUUAGCUAGUUAUGUCAAUGUGAUGGAGUUGUUUCUUAGAGGAAAUUUUAGUUUGGAAAAGGUAGAUGCCAAACUUGUAAUUAAAUGUACUGUUUGCUUCAGGAGAUGCCCAUAAAUCAAUUUAUUGAAGAAAGUAAUCUCAUUCUUGCAAAAAGUUUGCUUGUCAAUAAUUGUUACUUAUCAAAACCCCUCAUACCUAUGUCAACCAAUCCUGAACUACUUACUGUAUCAUGAAAUAUGCCCAAAUCUUCUCAAUUCCCAAUUUGAAAACUUACCUGUCUAUGGCCCUAUCACCCUGAACAUUAACUUAUUUGGUCCAAAUCCUCUAUAACUACAAUUAUUCUACAAUUGAUUUUUUUUAUCUGUUUUGUUUUGAGCUAAUACCUAAGUAAGGAAUUGUCAAAAUAUCCUGUUGUUAUUUGGUUAUUUGUCAAAGCAUUCUCCUUUAUUAAAUAUAAUUUGGGGGGGUUGUUUAAAAAAGACUUACUGGUAUUAAAAAAAAUUGGUAAGGAUGAAUUCCUCUUAAUCAUAAGUGGGUUUAGUGCUUAAGUAACACUUUCUCAAUUAUUUGAAAAGCUUGGGGGUGGGACAGGGGAACCCCAGUUCCUAGAAAAGCUGUCAUAAAAUAAAUGGAGAACUAAGACUGAUGGACUCACAAAUACUUUAAUUUUUUACAAAUACUUUUAAUGUUUUUCAAGAAGACAUUAGUUAAUACAAAACACAGAAUCUAUAAAGGAGAGGAGCAGACAAGGAGAUAGCAUAAUUGUUAUGCAGGGGAAAUAAAAAGGUUAACUCCUGAAACAGUAAAGGUUCCAGGCUUAAUCUCUAGCACCACCAAAAACCAGAGCUGUUCAGUGCUCUGGUAAAAUAAAACAAAACAAAACAAUGCAGCCCACCCUACCCCCACUCUCUCAUCUCCACUCCCCCC